ACUCCUUGUGCCAUAUUGAUUCGCUGAACACGGAGAUUCAGAUCGUUUUUACACCACGCUUUACGGUUUCGCGUUACGUUUUUCACAACGCUAUGACAAACUGACGGGUAAUUCCUGUGUCAUUUUUGAAAGCGAACUCGGAGUAAAGGCCAGGCGAAAGACCGUAUAGUAUUGGUAUAAGUUUGCUAGAGGUUCAUUAAGAGAAUACAAAAACAGAACUUUGGAAGCAUUUUGUUGGUGACCAUGUUGAAAUUGGGAACUCUAUAUUUCGUCCUGUUCUGUUUUGCUUUCGUCGGUGUACAAGUUUCGGCACAGGAAGGUAUCGGGGAGUUGUUUAACCCUGUUGAUGACAAUGAAAAUGUAAACAACUUCUUAUCAAGAAAGCAAUGGAAGAGAUCGAGAAUAUCACCUCUUAUUCUUCACAUUCUGUCACAAAUGAACUCCAGGAUACAAAAUCAGCGCCCCUCUCGGCAUAUUCUGCUCGACAAACUCCGGCCGCAGAAACGACAGUUGCAAUGCUAUUGGUCGAUGGUCUCGUGUUUUUGAAACGGCUUGCCAUUGGCGAUCUAGCCGUCACGUGGUCUGCUGCCAGCUGUUUAUUGGUCGGAUUUAUUUCGAAAUGUAAUAUGUGUUAUGGGAUACUUCGUUAAUGCCUUUAUUUCGGAUUUUUAGAAGCUCAAGGUCUCAUUCUAGUGAUUAUAAAAUUAUUUCUGUUUCACAAAAUUUGAAGAAAACGUUUUCGUGACAUGUUGAGCAGGCAUAACAGUAAGGGAUCUAAGGUCCUAAGCUCAAAUAGAGAAUUUAAAUCAUGUUAAAUUUAUCAGUAAUUAGUUUCAAAAAUAUAGUAGUAUGUUUGUUUUGAUUAUUGGUAAUGAAUUUUAUUACCGGAAGUGGUAGUUUAUAUCGUUAUAUUACGAUUGGAACCGAGUGUAUAAUUCUGAUUUGUUUUCCGAAUGAACGCGGAACAUGGCGAAAUGUUACGAAAUUUACUGAUAAAUGUUCACUUCGCCUAUUUUUAUCAAACUUCUCCCCUUUCUUCUGGAAAGGGAGAAGCCACUUUUUUCCAUUAUAGAUUAGGGUCUGAUUAUGAUGACUUCUAAAUCGGGUUUUCUGUCAUUUUAAAAUAUGGGUGAAUUAAGUGGGGUCAGCUCUCUCCUGGACCGAGUUACUGGUGGGCCGGGGGAGCCCAUGUCUGAACCCUGAAUAAACAUGGGCAUGUGAAACUUAUGUAGAUUGGUUUAUGGGAGUAGGGAGUGACCUAUAGUCCUUCCCACAGAGAAGGCCUUUUUGUAUACUAUAGUAAAGUACUCUUAUAACGAACCAGAAGGGACCCUGGUAGUUAGUUCAUUAUAGCAGUAGUUCGUUGUACACAAUUGUACAAGUUGGUUAUUAAUGUAUAGGGAGAUAAAACGGGACUUUAAUAUCAGUUCGUUAUAUGCAGCAAGUCGUUCUAAGCAUGUUCGUUAUAAGUAUACUUUAUAGAAUUUACCACAAGUUAUUUAUUUCUCAGCCGAUUGUUUUCUAAAUUGCACACAAAAAUAAUUGUUGUUGGGCUGGGGGGGGGGGUUUCGGAGGGGGGCGGGUGGGAGUAUUUCCGAAACACUCUUACUUUUGUUUAUUACGUCAAACCAAACUGAAAUUAUUUACAAAACACAUUUUUAUAGGAGGAUGGGACAGACUAUAGUGAUCCUAUCUUUGAUACACCCUGCUUGCUUCCUCCUCCCCUACCUUCCGAUCACCCCUCCCUCCGAUCAUCCCUCCCUCGACGGUCCUAUUGCAAUCUGAUGGAACAUUACAAUAACCUGUUUGUUUUUUCUUUAAAAUCAGUGCCCGCAGUCACUUUUAAUUGCGGCUUAUUAAUAACUGCACAUGUUCAGCACUCACACUGGAAACAACUUUGUUUCAGCCGAUUUUCACAUUUUUAGAGAAAAUGUUGUUAGCCAAAUGCUAAAUGUUGUAGCCAUUUUGUAUUUAAAAAAUUAACAAGUGGCUAAUUUAGCAAUGGAGAGGGUGGGCCCUGGAUAUUGUUUUAUCUACCCCAGUUUUAAAACGGUUUUUUAAUUUUAAUUUUAAUUUUUUAUUAUUUUUUUUAUUAUUUUUUUGUUGUUGUAAAUAUCAGUUUCAUUUGACAGAACAAGAAAUGUAGAAGUGUUUUGGAAAGAAAACACCUUUAUUUCUGAGUGCAAUUUAAAAAAAAGAAGAAGAUUGUAAUGCACAUCAUAGUAAGAAAAUCAUUUGGAUUUCCGUUAGCUGUUUUUGUUUGUUUUGUUUUUAUGUCAGUUAAAAUGAUCAAUGUUUUGUGGACAUUUUAGGCCUAUUUUGACAGAAUUGUUACAUAUUAAAUUCUAUCAUGAAAAAUAUAUGUAAUAACAUUCUUUUUUCUUUCUUUUUUUGUUCAGUAUGUCACAAAGUUAGAUAUCUGUUAUGAAUAUGUGUAUCAGUUAUGAGUGAGUGUGUAUAUUAGUUGUGCGUAUAUUAGUUAUGAAUAUGUAUUAUCAGUUAAUGAAUAUGUAUUAUCAGUUAAUGUAUUGUCAUGUUACUCUUCGAAAUAAAUGAGAUCAAUGCG